rnacentral:lncRNA from 1 species
AAAUAUCAAAUGAUGAUUUAGUCUUAAUAUUUUAUUAUUAUUUUGUAGAACUAGGCCAGAAUACUAUCAAUAGCACCAAACUAUUGGUGUUAUUAAUUUUUUAGCCCUUGGAUUGAGGAAUGUGCGAUUAGGAUGAUAUGGGCCCUAUAGGGUUGAGUGGAUAGUUGGUCGAAUAGUAUAAUUUAAUUGAUAAAAUAAUCAAAGGAUUAAAUCUAACGGUGGAAAAUUCGAUAGCACCAAACUCUUAGGGUGCGUUUGGUUCAAGUUAUUUUGACAGGAUUAUCGACAAUCUUAUUAGGAUUACUGUGCUUGGCUCAUCCGCUAUGUAAUCUAGUCGUUAAUGUAGCAUUACAAAUUGAACAGGAUUAUACCGAAAAUAUUACCGAGAGGAGGGUCGUGUAGUUUGCAUUACUGAAAAUCAGCAAUACUACAUAUUAUGUAAAAUAUAUGUAAAACGAUAAUUUAUCAUCUAACUCUCAAAACUCUUUCAAUACAUUAUUUUAAAAAAAUUAAUUUAAAAUUUUGAAUUGUCAACUUUUAAUUUUUAAUUUUUAAUUUUCAAAUUUAAAUUUAAAAAUUUUAAACUUCAAAUUUAAAUUUUAAAUUUUAAAUUUUAAAUUUUAAAUUUUAAAUUUUAAAUUUUAAAUUUUAAAUUUCAAAUUUCUCAGAUUUUAAACUUCAAAUUUUAAAUUUUAAAUUCCAAAAUACAAAUUAAUUUGUAUUUAAAUUCUAAAUUUUAAAUUUAGAUUUUAAUUUUUUAUUUUAUAUAUAUUUAUAUUUAAAUUUUAGAUUUUAAAUUUAGAAAUUUCAUAUUUAUAUUUUAAAUUAAAAUAUUAAAUUUAUAUGUUUCUUAAAAUUUAAAAAUUAAAAAAACUAUUUAAAAUAAAAUUUGAUAAAAAAUUAUUGUUUGUAAACAAUAAAAAAAAUUUAAAAAAAUAUGACUAAGAGUAAUUUUGAAAUAGACUAUAUUUUAUUGUCUAGAUUAUUAAAUUUUACAGACAGAACCAAAUAUAGUAAUGCUAUAAAGACUGGAAUCCAGCAUUUUAUUGCUGUAUUAAACCAAACGUACUAAUGUUGCAUUAGUAAUAAUCUCAUUUAGAAAUCUAAGAUUCCUCGAUAUAUCGAAAUACUCUGUAAUAUUAUGUAACUCGAACCAAAUGCACCCUUACUGCUAUCGACAGUAUUCCAAACGGAUUCUUAUUUUGUAUAUUAUUAGAGUUAAAUCUCAAAAUUCUCUCCC